GCUAAGAGCAUGCGCAACAGAGAUCCGUGAGGUACUGGGUUCUAAUAUUCGAUAGACGAAAGAAACUUUGUGUGAAAAAGUCAAAGUUGUCUGAUAUUUUAUUUAAUUCUUUGUUAACUGUACCUCUUACGCCGACAUAGUGUCGAAAAUUCGUUGACUGAUUCUUUGGUGUCACGUGGAACUAAGAUGAUUGAGAUCACAUGUAAUGAUCGACUGGGUAAAAAGGUCCGAGUUAAGUGCAAAUGACACAAUAGGAGACCUGAAGAAACUAGUUGCAGCCCAGACUGGAACAAAGUGGGAAAGAAUAGUAUUAAAAAAAUGGUAUACCAUCUUCAAAGACCACAUCACGCUACAAGACUAUGAAAUUAAUGAUGGCAUGAACCUUGAGCUUUAUUACAAGUAAAUUAUAUAUAGAACACAAGGAAGAGUCAUUAGAAAGGGAAUAUGUGGAUGUGUAGUUCACAUGUAGCUCACAAAAA